rnacentral:lncRNA from 1 species
AUGCUGGUCGCCAACCCACUAUGUUGGUUUUCUCAUGGCACGACUCAAAUAUAGAACACUUUAGAUAUUGGACGUGUCUAUUGCUGGAUAGUGGAGUUCUUUCAUGCUACGUAAUGUAGCAGUUACACAACUGGGAAAAAACAGGCGGCAAAGUAAAGUGUAUUGGAAAACAUCUAGAGUAUGUGUAUUUUUCUAUUUUUUAUGACUCAGGUAAAAUGGUGAAAUCAUUUGAAGAUUCUUCUUGGUGGUUUAAAUCAGGACUAGUGUUCAAUAUGUUAGCUCUGAUAUUAGAUGCGGUCGGGUUUUCUUUACCUAAUUUCCUAGAAGAAACUGUCAGCGAACACGAAAGGUUAAAUAGUGGACUUUGGCAAACUUGUACUAACAACAAAUGGAAUAGGCCUUGAAUGUCAGGACAGUAUAUUUAUAGAUACAGACUGGUUUCUGGGUGUUAAAGUAUUGCAGUGCAUAGGCCUAGCAGCGACCGCCCUCACCACGUUGAUAUCAUUGGCAUUACUGCUUGCUGUGACGAACCAAAGAUUGGCGAAGGCAAAUGUGACUGUCUGCUUUGCUGCAUUGUCAGCUGUCGGCACUAGCACAAUUUUAUCAAUAAAAAUGCUACUGGUCACUCCCGAGAAUUCAGACUAUACCUCCCGGUAUUUGGGAAUAUCUUUUUACUUGUGUGUAUUUGCUACAUGUUCUUUACUAACCGCGUGGAUCGUUUUCGUUGUUGACCAAUGGAAGACAAACUGAACACGUCGAUAUAUUCAGGAUAUACCUCUAAAUUUAUUACUAGACAGAUGUGCACGCUUUUUACAGAUGUACUUUUUCAGACAGAAAACUGUCGUAAACACUUUAAUAGCAGUGACUACCUCAUUUAUUUAUUUUUUACCAGGAAGUACUACACAAGCAUUACAACAACAUGUCCCAGGAAGUUGUACACAUGGGGCAAAAGAAGCUAUGAAUAGACAAAUAGAUGUGAUCAUAAUACAUUUGACGUAUAUUAAGAUAUUGUUAUUGGACAUAACAAACUGAUUACCUGAAGUUGGGCACUUGCGGCUAUAGAACCUGUGUUUAGACAGAUAUAUAUAUAUGAUCGCGAUACAUUUGUCUUAGGAAAUAUGUUUAUUGCAUUUACAUUGUAUGAUAACAUAUGGUUAUUGAACAAAACUAGCUGUUUAUCUCAGGAAGUUGUAACGUUGGGAUAUAGAAGCUAUGUUUUAGACAGAAAGACAUGAUCAGCAAUACAUUUGUCUUAGAAAUACUGUAUAUUGCAUUUAUAUUGUAUAUUAAGAUAUUGUUGCAAGACUAAACUAACUGUUUAUCUCAGGAAGUUGUACUAAUGGCAAGUAUACAUCUGUAUACUGCUUUUAUCCAAACACAAAUUACUAUGUGAUUAAAAUAACAAAUAAUUUAUAUAUCUAGACACUUACAAGUACACUUAUCUACAUCAGGAAGAUGUUCACAGAUGUAGUUGAGUAUUUUAGCAAUCAGACAACUAGAACAGUUUUUGUACAAAGCUACCUAUACAUUUUAUUACAUGCUUUUUAGGGUAAAUAAAUAUUAGAUUGAAAUAUAUUUUGUACUUUUACAGUAAAAACAGAUCAAAUAUAUUUUCACUGGUAAGAAAGUAUAAAAUGGGCAAAUUUGGUCAAAACAAGAAAUAAAAAGAGCAUAUGUUUGUUUUAAAUGCAAGUUCAAAAACACUUUUACUCAUCAAAACCAUAUAUUAUAUAUUUUCACUCGUGAAAGAUAUUUCAAUCUUACACUGAAACAAACACAUAUCCUCUAUAUUAGGCACAGUUUUAAAACGUCGGUGUCAAUGCUUCCACUGGAUCUUCAUGAAAAAAUAAUGCACACCAGCAACAACAGCUUUUAAAAGAAAAUUCUCACCAAACCUGGACUCAUUGCUAUUGUUUUUUCCUUGUCCCUUUGGGAUAAUUGACCCAUUGUGCACGCAUGCGUGGGGCACAUGUGGACUUCCGCUACCAGCAAAAGCUGGAAAAGUCUCCAUAUUUAUUAAUUUGUGUCGGUGUGACCUUUACCCCACCCUUUCAUCUCCCUAACAAAUAUACUACUUUCCAAGAGGAAUUCGGAUAAACAUAUAUAUUCCUUUUUCAUUUAUUAUUAAUCUUUAUCAGAUACCGGUGGAAAUUAUGUCAAAUAUUGGUAAAGAUUUGGUUUUGGAUGAAGGAAUUUUGAUAUUUACGUCACUUACCUAUCAUGGUUAUCGUAAUGUUCCGUUUGCUUUCAUCUUUGUGUUUUAUAUAAAAACAUAUAAAAAAGUGCCGUUUUUACUCAUUUGUCAAGGUAUGUUAGAUGUUAUCCUACUUAAGCAAUAAAUCAAAAUCGUUCCAAAAUCAUAAAAAUGAUAUUUUGAUAUUAAAGUUACGAGAU